CCCUUUGUAGAUCUAUUAUCUUGUGGUCAGCAAUGAUAUUUUGGUGUGGUUAUGGUGUGGUGUAUUUCGUAAAUGAAAUUCAAAUUCUUGUGUAAAAAUUUCUGCUCAAAGUCAUGCAAUUGUUAAAGCUUGAUUAUUUAUACAAUUGAUUACAAUGUGCACAUUUAUUUUUCGGAAGCUUAUUUUUUUCAUAGUGUUUAUUAUUUACAGUACCUCAGAAUGAUUAGCUUUCUUCGUAAAAAAACUUGAUUCCAUUAGAUUUGACUUAAUUUAUCAAGUACAAAAAAUGGUAUUUAUAGUACAUCAAGUUAUGUGUUGUAUUCGACAUAGGACUUCUAAUGAACUCUAGAGGUAGGAACGAUUGUAUGGUGAAAAAUAGGGCUGUAACUAGUGUGAACAGAAAUAAACUAUAAAUUGAAUCAAAGGAUAGGAUUAUUUGAAUUUGAUAAGUAAACUGUUUUAGUAGACAAUUAAUUGUACUGAUUUUCAGCGGUUUCUGGUAUUUGCUUUAUUGUUGUUUUUUAUUCUAUCUUAAUUUAGUAGUUCAUUUAAUCUGUGUUUGUUGUGCUUUUCAGUAUAGUUUGAGCUCUGGGAUGAAUUGAGAGCACAACACUUUCACUGGUACGAUGGUACCCUUCUUAUGGGACUUCUUUACCUUGGAACAUUAUGAAUAUUACACAAACUUUGGACAUCAUGUGUAGUUGGUCUGUGAUUAUAGCAGUCCACAUUUCAUCCGAGCAUGGAGCAGUAUCCAUUUAUUCAAUGAAAGCAGAAACAACAAGGGUAUAGAAGGAAUUUUCAUCUGUGGGUCUUCCGGCGAUCUUAUCUGUGUGCUCGCAUUCGGUCUUCGAGAAGCCAGUGAGAAAGACAAGUCGCCGCUUAUGCUGCCCGUAAAUGAAGACGAUGCCUGAAGGCUUUGAUGAUAACAUUCUUGGAUUACCUAUAUGGACAAACUACUUGCAGAUGUUAUCUGUGGCAGUUAAAUUUACUUUUAUUUCCAAAAAUACUUCUGAUGAGAUGGUCGAAAAAUCCAUACGCAUAGGAUGUUAACAAUGGUUAAACAUAAUAAAUGAACACAGAGGGUAAAUCAGAAGGAGUCGAAAUGUGAAGAAACAGAGCCCCACUCACACUUCUUUCUCUUGGACUUAGGAUGGAGUCAUUUGCAGAGAGGGUUAUCAUUUAAACUUAUUAAAUGAACAAGAAGACAAAGAAUAAGGAAGAAUAAACGUGGAGAAGUGGAACCCCGUUAAUGUUCCGUCCUCUUAGACUUGAAAAGUGCAAUUUUUAGAGAACAAAUGAAGCUCAAUUCACAUUGAUGUAUUUAAGAAUAAAACUUGAGCACAGUACAAUUAUCCUGGAGGUAAGUAAUUGCUUUAUUUGUUUAUUUUGGUGGUACUUCAUUUUCAUAGUAAUUUGCCAUGCCUGGCAUCUAUGGUUUUUGUUCUCUUACAGUUAUCUAUUGCCCACAUCUAUGAUUUUCUUCUAUCAAUUAUCUAUUGUGUACAAGCAUCUAUGAUUAUUUCUAUUGCUUUUAACAUUUAUCUAUGUCUUGAAUAAAAUUGACCACAUCGCCAUUUUAUAAUUUAGGUAUUUUACUUGCUCUU
rnacentral:lncRNA from 1 species